rnacentral:rRNA from 1 species
GAUGAACGCUGGCGGCGUGCCUAAUACAUGCAAGUCGAGCGAACAGACGAGGAGCUUGCUCCUCUGACGUUAGCGGCGGACGGGUGAGUAACACGUGGAUAACAUACCUAUAAGACUGGGAUAACUUCGGGAAACAGGAGCUAAUACCGGAUAAUAUAAUGAACCGCAUGGUUCAAUAGUGAAAGACGGUUUUGCUGUCACUUAUAGAUGGAUCCGCGCCGCAUUAGCUAGUUGGUAAGGUAACGGCUUACCAAGGCGACGAUGCGUAGCCGACCUGAGAGGGUGAUCGGCCACACUGGAACUGAGACACGGUCCAGACUCCUACGGGAGGCAGCAGUAGGGAAUCUUCCGCAAUGGGCGAAAGCCUGACGGAGCAACGCCGCGUGAGUGAUGAAGGUCUUCGGAUCGUAAAACUCUGUUAUUAGGGAAGAACAAAUGUGUAAGUAACUAUGCACGUCUUGACGGUACCUAAUCAGAAAGCCACGGCUAACUACGUG